UGCCAGCCGCCGCGGUAAUACGGAGGGUGCAAGCGUUAUCCGGAUUUAUUGGGUUUAAAGGGUGCGCAGGCGGAAAUGUAAGUCAGUGGUGAAAUACUGCCGCUCAACGGUAGGGCUGCCAUUGAUACUGCAUUUCUUGAGUAUGGUUGAGGUAGGCGGAAUGUGCGGUGUAGCGGUGAAAUGCAUAGAUAUCGCCCAGAACGCCGAUUGCGAAGGCAGCUUACUAAACCAUUACUGACGCUGAGGCACGAAAGCGUGGGUAGCGAACAGGAUUAGAUA
rnacentral:rRNA from 1 species